rnacentral:rRNA from 1 species
GACGAACGCUGGCGGCGUGCCUAAUACAUGCAAGUCGAGCGAAGUUUUUCUGGUGCUUGCACUAGAAAAACUUGGCGGCGAACGGGUGAGUAACACGUAAAGAACCUGCCUCAUAGACUGGGACAACUAUUGGAAACGAUAGCUAAUACCGGAUAACAGCAUUAACUGCAUGGUUGAUGUUUAAAAGUUGGUUUUGCUAACACUAUGAGAUGGCUUUGCGGUGCAUUAGCUAGUUGGUGGGGUAAAGGCCUACCAAGGCGACGAUGCAUAGCCGACCUGAGAGGGUGAUCGGCCACACUGGGACUGAGACACGGCCCAGACUCCUACGGGAGGCAGCAGUAGGGAAUCUUCCGCAAUGGGCGAAAGCCUGACGGAGCAACGCCGCGUGAGUGAAGAAGGAUUUCGGUUCGUAAAGCUCUGUUGUUAGGGAAGAAUGAUUGUGUAGUAACUAUACACAGUAGAGACGGUACCUAACCAGAAAGCCACGGCUAACUACGUGCCAGCAGCCGCGGUAAUACGUAGGUGGCAAGCGUUGUCCGGAAUUAUUGGGCGUAAAGCGCGCGCAGGUGGUUUAAUAAGUCUGAUGUGAAAGCCCACGGCUCAACCGUGGAGGGUCAUUGGAAACUGUUAAACUUGAGUGCAGGAGAGAAAAGUGGAAUUCCUAGUGUAGCGGUGAAAUGCGUAGAGAUUAGGAGGAACACCAGUGGCGAAGGCGGCUUUUUGGCCUGUAACUGACACUGAGGCGCGAAAGCGUGGGGAGCAAACAGG